rnacentral:rRNA from 1 species
AACGAACGCUGGCGGCAGGCUUAACACAUGCAAGUCGAGCGCCCCGCAAGGGGAGCGGCAGACGGGUGAGUAACGCGUGGGAAUCUACCCAUCUCUACGGAAUAACGCAUGGAAACGUGUGCUAAUACCGUAUACGUCCUUCGGGAGAAAGAUUUAUCGGAGAUGGAUGAGCCCGCGUUGGAUUAGCUAGUUGGUGGGGUAAAGGCCUACCAAGGCGACGAUCCAUAGCUGGUCUGAGAGGAUGAUCAGCCACACUGGGACUGAGACACGGCCCAGACUUCUACGGGAGGCAGCAGUGGGGAAUAUUGGACAAUGGGCGCAAGCCUGAACCAGCCAUGCCGCGUGAGUGAUGAAGGCCCUAGGGUUGUAAAGCUCUUUCACGGGUGAAGAUAAUGACGGUAACCGGAGAAGAAGCCCCGGCUAACUUCGUGCCAGCAGCCGCCGUAAUAC